AAUCAACGCUGGCGGCGUGCCUCAGACAUGCAAGUCGAACGAUUAAACUUCUCUUCGGAGAAGAUAUAAAGUGGCGCACGGGUGAGUAACACGUAAGUAAUCUACCUUCGAGUGGGGAAUAGCGUUCGGAAACGAACGCUAAUACCGCAUAAUGCAGCGGCAUCGCAAGAUGACAGUUGUUAAAGAUUUAUCGCUUGAAGAGGAGCUUGCGGCAGAUAGCUAGUUGGUAAGGUAACGGCUUACCAAGGCGACGAUCUGUAUCCGGUCUAAGAGGACGGUCGGACACACUGACACUGAAUAACGGGUCAGACUCCUACGGAGGCAGCAGUCGGGAAUUUUGGGCAAUGGGCGAAAGCCUGACCCAGCAACGCCGCGUGAAGGAUGAAGUAUUUCGGUAUGUAAAC
rnacentral:rRNA from 1 species